CGAUUUUAAUCGGCGCCUACGAUUGUGCCGACUCGAAUAAUAAGAUAACGAAACGGAUCGAAGGAGACGCGUAUUUCAGGUUCGGCUCAUUCACAUUUCACAUUAUUCAUGGAACCUCCGUCGCAGAUUCACCGGUUUGAACUGUUGAUUCAUAUAAACACGAAAUUGGUUGCUGCGAAUACUCGAUUUAUUGGCUUAAACGAAUGCAUGGCUUUCACUGCGAUGUAAACGAAUAUUGAUCGGGAGUCGAGAAAAAUUAUCGUCGAAUCGUCAAAAAAAAAUCCUUUUUUUCGAUUUGCUCGCUCGACAAAUAACUCAGUCGAAUCAACGAAUCGCUCUUCCCGGUGUUAAAUGAAAACGGAACACCCGCUACAUUCAGGUAUACGAAGACCCGAAAAUCUUGACGAUUAUAGGGGGUCACCGAGACUUCGCGGUGAUGCGUGGGUAAAGAUAUGGCGAUGUACAUUCAUUCCAAAGGAUUCACGAAACGCAGUUACCAAGAUGGAGAUUUUAAUGAUUUCGAACGGGAAAAAACCAAUCUCACAUGGGAGCCGACUGCUUCUUCUUCCUGCAUACUAUAUAACAUUAAGUUUCACGAUAUCGAUGCGCCUUUGCACGUGUCGGUUUAAUUUAUAACAUAAAAUGAGCCACCGGAGUUACCGUGUUGUGAACUGCGAAAAAAUAUAUAUCAAGAAAAAAUGAGUGUAAAUUUGAUAAAUUUCCGACUGCUAAAUGGAAAAUGAAUCGGAAAACUAAAUAGAUAGCUGCAGUGCGAAGGUAAAAAUAAGUAGUAUCAUAACCUCAAUUGCAAUAAUAACAAAACUGAGAAUAGCAGAUUUUUAGGAAUUCGUUAGUUUUUUAUAAACAAUAAAAUAUCGUAUUUAGUUAAUAAUUUUUUAAAUUUCAUGUUGAGAUGCUUCAAAUUUUUUAUAAUUGUGUAACAAAAAAUGUAUUUUUUUUUUAAUUCAUUGAAAAUGAAAAAUUAUUUGCUGUCUAUUAAAUCUUCUGUUAUAUUAAGAUUUUAUGUAUAAUCUGUUGCGUGACUGACUGACUGACUGACAGACAACGCACAGCCUAAACCACUGAAGUUAGGAUCGUGAAAUUUGUCACGAUUACUCCUCUCUCAACGUAGACGCUCACUAAGAACGGAUUUUGUUCGUUCUCUACCCAAAAAAAAAUUACCGCAAUUUUUUUUUUCAUUUUAUUUUUCAUUUUCUAUACCCGAUACACGAUUAUAUACACGAUUAAUUGAAAAAUCACACAACACACAUACACACACUCACACGCACGCACGCACGCACACACGCACACACAUCCAGACAUUCUUAUAGAUAUGAAUUUUCGACGUUUUGGGACAGUUUAAGCACAUUGCUAUUGAAAACUGGAAAAAUAAAAAUUUCACCAUCACAUAGCUUCCUGUAUGAGGAAGCAAAAGUAACGACUCCGCGUAAGCGGCGAGUUGGAAAUUUAGAAAUAAAUACACGUUUCAUGUAUGAUGGAUCUGUAAUUAUCGACGUAUCUCAGGAUUUUUUGAAUAUUCACAUUGAAUAGGGUUUUCGAAUGUGAAUUUUUUGAAGUUUUUCCAUAGCCAACUCGGUACUGAUCUUUUUUUGUCAAUCGAAGUCUGUAGUCUGUAGAUGUUUUUUGACAUAGCAAAUUUUGACAGAUCGUUUUCUGACGCUACCAUGUUUAAACGUGUCGAAACGUAAUAAGAAAAAGAAAGGACGUGUACGAAAAUAUAAAAGACGAAUAAUAAUCUUGAAUUUACGAUAGAAGUUUAUACGGAUAUCGUUGAAUUCGGAAUAUUUAGAAAUCGACAAAUUUAUUUACUGUCAUCAGAUCGACAAAUGUAUUUACUAUUUACGGUUUUGUGUACGCGAAGCGUACACAAAACCCCCAUUUCCGCACCUCGUAAUAUAAAAUUUCGUCUAACACGCGUAUGAAAAACUUUUUCGUCCUAGUGUUAUAAUGUACUAUUGUCGAUAUUUAUAUAAAUAAAAAUUUAUCGAAACGAGUAAAGACAAAGCAAGGACGUGUACUGAAAUAAAAGAGACGAAUAACCCUCUGGAAUUUACUACACGACUUCAUACGGAAAUCACUGAAUUCGGAAUAAUUAGACAUCGACAAAUUUAUUUACUCUGAUCACGGAAACGAUACAGGUAUUUCUUAAUUAUUACUAUUUUAUAACUAUAAACGUUUCAAAACGUGUCAAUACAAAGCCAGGACGUGUACGUAAAUAAAAGAGACGAAUAAUCCUAUUGAAUUCGUUACACGACUUUAGACUGAUAUAAUUGAAUUCGCUAUAUUUAACAACAAGUAACAGAGAAAAAAAACUUAUGCUCAUUUACAACGACUCUCACAAAAAAAUGGUUGAAGAAAGUUUGUCUAUCGACGGAGAAAAUAUUCCCCAAACUGUUGUUUCCAUUGAAGGAGACGGAGCCUGCUUUUUUAGAGCUUUAUCUUUUUUGAUGUGGAAACACAGGCAAUAGCUGUAAACGGAUUGUUAUGUAUUUUGUAGACAACUGGAUAGAAUUUUCUAUUAUGUCAUGCGAUGGAAGGGAAGAUAACUAUUCCACAUCAAAUGAUUAUCAAAAUCAAAUGAUACGAACUUCAACAUUCGGAGGUUUGUGUGAGUUCGAAGCCGCGGGGCGAAUAUAUCCGUAUGUUUUCGAAGUCUAUCGAAAUGGCAGGCUUUACAUAAGAACAGGAACUGAGGGUCGACCUGUAAAACGACUGAGAUUUGUAGGAAAUCUUUCCAGUGAUCAUUUUGAUGCUUAUUCUCCACAAUGUGAGGACCCACUUCAGCAAAUUGCAACUUUAAAUAUGACAAAAAUUAUUAUUACCAAAAAACGAGGACUAACAGAUGCCUAUAUCUCCGAAACCUGAAACUGAGUUCAUGUAUUCAUCUUCAUCUAACCAAGAUGCAGACAAUGUUUUACCAAUUCAAACUAAUAAGAGAAUUAAAAAACGCAGGGCUCGAUACACAAAUAACAUCAGGAAAAAACAAAUAAAGACAUCUUCGAAAAAAAACCCAACUGCGCAUCAACAAGCAGGCACUAAAUUUCAAAAACUACAUCCUGAAGUACACAGGCAAGCGACCGAUGAUUAUCAAACUACAAUUUUUUUCGCUCUGUAUUAGAUUUCGUAGAGUUCUUUAUGAAUCUAUCUUUCGUAGAGAGUUAACUUAAAAGGAAAUGAAUGAUAGAUUAAAUUUUAUAUUGUAAAACGCGCGCGAAAGCUAUGUAAAGAAAUGUAAACGCAUACCUAUACACAGUAUCACAUAGGUCAUAUGGAAAUCUGUGUUGGAUACUAUUGUGUGCCCAGCGAAGUGGGCAUACCUUGGCUAGUUUCUUAUAAAACGUUGAUAGAUCAAAGUGGAUUUCCAAACCAUAUGAUUAUAUUUGUAAUGAUUAUUUUAUCAGAGGCAAAAAAUCCGAAGAGGAGUCAAGUCCUAGCUAUGUUCUGACCAUAUUCCCUCCAAUCUAAAAAUCUUCAAAAGUUAAUCUUCAGUUCUAAGCAA
rnacentral:lncRNA from 1 species